GUGGACAGGUUGGUACCGCUACUCGUAAAACAGCUGCUGCAAGAUUAUUAAGAAUGGGUGCGUAAACAACAGGGUUCGUUUUCAAUGGAACUUCAAAGUAAGUUUUUGUACUUCAUCACAUCAGUUUUCUCAUAGAACUCCUGAUCUGAAGAUGCAAAAGUUUAUCAUGUAAUCUAUAUAUGUGACCUAUUACUUUAUACAAAGUCUGUAGUUAUAGUACCAUUGACUCCUAAAUUAUUCAAGUCUCUUGAAAGAUAAUCUAUUUUCAGGAAGCCGUGCUUCUACAUGAAAACCACAUUUACUUCCUCGGGUUAGAGUUAACAAUGUACUUUCUUAAGGUAAGCACAAAAUUUCCAUACACUAGGGCACGACCCGGUUAUUUUUCUUCACAUUUUUCUUUUCAUCUAGGGUGAGGAGCAGAAGUCCUGGAUUGUCAUUGUCUGAUGUGUGUAAUAGAUUAAAUCAUAUCUUUGAGCACUCUUUCAUGAAAUAAUCUUGUAUUAGUACUGAGUAACAUAUAGCUCUCAUUUGUUCGAAAAUCUCCCUCUUGAUCUGCAAAAUGAAACAAAUUUAUAUAGUCUGGAAUGCUUAUUGGCCUUGAAAUUGUAAUACAUUGCUGUGAUGUACAAAUCAAAUUGUUGUUUUUGAUUUAAGAAUGUUUAUGAAAAACAGGAAAU
rnacentral:lncRNA from 1 species